rnacentral:tRNA from 1 species
GGUGGCUCAGUGGUACAGCACUUGCCUUGUAUGCAUGAGGCCCUGAGUUCGAUUCCUCAGCACCA